rnacentral:tRNA from 1 species
UGGCUCAGUUGGUAGAGCAUGGUGUUUGCAAUGCCAGGGUUGUGGGUUCAUUUCCCAC